UAGGAGGGACUUCCGUGUUGGACGGAGGAAGACGGAAGCAGGAGAGAAUUAGGGUUUUUUUUGGGCAAGGAUAACGGGAGGACAAGAUGUAAUUACCAGAGGAGUUAGACUUAAUAAGGCUUACAAAAUUAGGAUUUCAGUUGUUGUGCUCAGCGAUUGAGUUACUGUUGCUUCUGAACUAAGUUCGUGUUGUGUUUCCCUUAACGUGGCGGCUCGUCUGGGUUCAAGAGAGAAAGGGAUGGCGGCAAAGCUUGGAUUUGCUUGAGGUUGCUGCAGUUUGACUGCCUCCGGGAUGAUGGAUGAAGAAGACCCUGAGGUCGGGAACCUGGGUAGUCAGCUUAAGGAACUCUUCCAGACCUCUGAGAGAAGAUCUGAAGCAGAUGUUGGUGUCAAGGAGUUCUGGAGCAGAUUCCAAUGAGCAGGGCCCAGCGAAUGGAAAUGCCUUCUCUAGUUCCC
rnacentral:lncRNA from 1 species